GCCUUUGUGGUGUAAUGGUCAGCACACUGAGCCGGUAAUUCAGAGGUCCGCGGUUCGAUCCCCGGCGAAGGCA
rfam:Stegodyphus mimosarum contig23607, whole genome shotgun sequence.